rnacentral:rRNA from 1 species
GUUUUGCUGACGAGUGGCGGACGUGGUGAGUAAUGUCUGGGAAACUGCCUGAUGGAGGGGGAUAACUACUGGAAACGGUAGCUAAUACCGCAUAACGUCGCAAGACCAAAGAGGGGGACCUUAGGGCCUCUUGCCAUCGGAUGUGCCCAGAUGGGAUUAGCUAGUAGGUGGGGUAACGGCUCACCUAGGCGACGAUCCCUAGCUGGUCUGAGAGGAUGACCAGCCACACUGGAACUGAGACACGGUCCAGACUCCUACGGGAGGCAGCAGUGGGGAAUAUUGCACAAUGGGCGCAAGCCUGAUGCAGCCAUGCCGCGUGUAUGAAGAAGGCCUUCGGGUUGUAAAGUACUUUCAGCGGGGAGGAAGGGAGUAAAGUUAAUACCUUUGCUCAUUGACGUUACCCGCAGAAGAAGCACCGGCUAACUCCGUGCCAGCAGCCGCGGUAAUACGGAGGGUGCAAGCGUUAAUCGGAAUUACUGGGCGUAAAGCGCACGCAGGCGGUUUGUUAAGUCAGAUGUGAAAUCCCCGGGCUCAACCUGGGAACUGCAUCUGAUACUGGCAAGCUUG